AUUGAACGCUGGCGGCAGGCCUAACACAUGCAAGUCGAACGGUAACAGGAAGAAGCUUGCUUCUUUGCUGACGAGUGGCGUACGGGUGAGAAAUGUCUGCGAAACUGCCUGAUGGAGGGGGAUAACUACUGGAAACGGUAGCUAAUACCGCAUAACGUCGCAAGCACAAAGAGCGUGAGCUUCGGGCCUCUUGCCCUCGGAUGUGCCCAGAUGGGAUUAGCUAGUAGGUGGGGUAACGGCUCACCUAGGCGACGAUCCCUAGCUGGUCUGAGAGUAUGACCAACCACACUGGAACUGAGACGCGGUCCAGACUCCUACGGGAGGCAGCAGUGGGGAAUAUUGCACUAUGGGCGCAAGCCUGAUCCAGCCAUGCCGCGUGUAUGAAGAAGGCCUUCGGGUUGUAAAGUACUUUCAGCGGGGAGGAAGGGAGUAAAGUUAAUCCCUUUACUCAUUGACGUUACCCGCAGAAGAAGCACCGGCUAACUCCGUG
rnacentral:rRNA from 1 species